CUGCCUACGGGGGGCAGCAGUGGGGAAUAUUGGACAAUGGGGGGAACCCUGAUCCAGCGACGCCGCGUGAGUGAAGAAGUAUUUCGGUAUGUAAAGCUCUAUCAGCAGGGAAGAAAAUGACGGUACCUGACUAAGAAGCCCCGGCUAACUACGUGCCAGCAGCCGCGGUAAUACGUAGGGGGCAAGCGUUAUCCGGAUUUACUGGGUGUAAAGGGAGUGUAGACGGUGUAGCAAGUAUGAUGUGAAAGGUUGGGGCCCAA
rnacentral:rRNA from 1 species